rnacentral:rRNA from 1 species
UACGUAGUUAGCCGUGGCUUAUUCGUCAGGUACCGUCACUUGCUUCGUCCCUGACAAAAGAAGUUUACAACCCGAAAGCCUUCUUCCUUCACGCGGCGUUGCUGGGUCAGGCUUGCGCCCAUUGCCCAAUAUUCCCCACUGCUGCCUCCCGUAGGAGUCUGGGCCGUGUCUCAGUCCCAAUGUGGCCGGCCAACCUCUCAGUCCGGCUACUGAUCGUCGCCUUGGUGGGCCGUUACCCCGCCAACUAGCUAAUCAGACGCGAGCUCAUCUCAGAGCGAUAAAUCUUUGACAGCCAGGGAGAUGCCUCCCAGCUGUAUCAUGCGGUAUUAGCGGCUGUUUCCAGCCGUUAUUCCCCACUCCAAGGCAGAUUGCUCACGCGUUACUCACCCGUCCGCCACUUUCCCCACCUUCACUUGGACGAAUCCUCGAUCCAAUGGUUCUCGUUCGACUUGCAUGUGUUAAGCACGCCGCCAGCGUUCAUCCUGAGCCAGGAUCAAA